rfam:Eutrema salsugineum unplaced genomic scaffold scaffold_4, whole genome shotgun sequence.
AAGCCGUGGUGAGGACACUGAUUAGUAUAUCUCCUGAAUCGUCCCCAAGCCUCACUGAAUCUUUCAUUUGUAUGUUUUGUGAAGCUUGAGAUCUGAUUUCCGAGCUU